UACGUAGGGGGCAAGCGUUGUCCGGAUUUAUUGGGCGUAAAGAGCGUGUAGGCGGUUUGGUAGGUCCGCUGUGAAAACUCGAGGCUCAACCUCGAGACGCCGGUGGAAACCAUCAGACUAGAGUACGGCAGAGGGGGGUAGAAUUCCACGUGUAGCAGUGAAAUGCGUAGAGAUGUGGAGGAAUACCGAUGGCGAAGGCAGCCCCCUGGGCCAAUACUGACGCUCAUGCACGAAAGCGUGGGGAGCAAACAGG
rnacentral:rRNA from 1 species